rnacentral:rRNA from 1 species
UAGGGAAUCUUCGGCAAUGGGGGGAACCCUGACCGAGCAACGCCGCGUGAGUGAAGAAGGUUUUCGGAUCGUAAAGCUCUGUUGUUAAGGAAGAACGAGCGUGAGAAUGGAAAGUUCAUACUGUGACGGUACUUAACCAGAAAGGGACGGCUAACUACGUGCCAGCAGCCGCGGUAAUACGUAGGUCCCGAGCGUUGUCCGGAUUUAUUGGGCGUAAAGCGAGCGCAGGCGGUUAGAUAAGUCUGAAGUUAAAGGCAGUGGCUCAACCAUUGUAGGCUUUGGAAACUGUUUAACUUGAGUGCAGAAGGGGAGAGUGGAAUUCCAUGUGUAGCGGUGAAAUGCGUAGAUAUAUGGAGGAACACCGGUGGCGAAAGCGGCUCUCUGGUCUGUAACUGACGCUGAGGCUCGAAAGCGUGGGGAGCGAACAGGAUUAGAUACCCUGGUAGUCCACGCCGUAACGAUGAGUGCUAGGUGUUAGGUCCUUUCCGGGACUUAGUGCCGCAGCUAACGCAUUAAGCACUCCGCCUGGGGGGGGGGCAGUU